UACGUAGGGUGCGAGCGUUUUCCGGAAUUAUUUGGCGUAAAGAGCUCGUAGGCGGUCUGUCGCGUCGAGUGUGAAAACCCGGGGCUCAACUCCGGGCUUGCAUUCGAUACGGGCAGGCUAGAGUUCGGUAGGGGAGUCUGGAAUUCCUGGUGUAGCGGUGAAAUGCGCAGAUAUCAGGAGGAACACCGGUGGCGAAGGCGGGACUCUGGGCCGAUACUGACGCUGAGGAGCGAAAGCGUGGGGAGCGAACAGG
rnacentral:rRNA from 1 species